AGAGUUUGAUCAUGGCUCAGGAUGAAUGCUGGCGGCGUGCCUAAUACAUGCAAGUCGAGCGGUAAGGCCCUUCGGGGUACACGAGCGGCGGACGGCUGAGUAACGCGUGGGAACAUGCCCCAAAGUGAGGGAUAACGCACCGAAAGGUGUGCUAAUACCGCAUAUGGUCUUCGGAUUAAGGAUUUUAUCCGCUUUGGGAGUGGCCCGCGUACGAUUAGAUUGUUGGUGAGGUAACGGCUCACCAAGUCGACGAUCGUUAACUGGUCUGAGAGGAUGAUCAGUCAGACUGGAACUGAGACACGGUCCAGACUCCUACGGGAGGCAGCAGUAAGGAAUCUUCCACAAUGGGCGAAAAGCCUGAUGGAGCAACGCCGCGUGCAGGAUGAAGGCCCUCGGGUCGUAAACUGCUUUUAUGAGUGAAGAAUAUGACGGUAACUCAUGAAUAAGCACCGGCUAACUACGUG
rnacentral:rRNA from 1 species